rnacentral:rRNA from 1 species
UACGGAGGGUGCGAGCGUUGUCCGGAAUCACUGGGCGUAAAGGGCGCGUAGGCGGCCUGAUAAGUAGGGGGUGAAAUCUUGCGGCUUAACCGCAAGGCUGCCUUCUAAACUGUCAGGCUAGAGCACAGUAGAGGCAGGUGGAAUUCCCGGUGUAGCGGUGGAAUGCGUAGAGAUCGGAAAGAACACCAACGGCGAAAGCACUCUGCUGGGCCGACACUGACACUGAGAGACGAAAGCUAGGGGAGCGAAUGGG